rnacentral:rRNA from 1 species
UACGUAGGGGGCAAGCGUUAUCCGGAAUUACUGGGUGUAAAGGGAGCGUAGACGGUUAAGUAAGUCUGGAGUGAAAGCCCGGGGCCCAACCCCGGAACUGCAUUGGAAACUGUAUUUCUAGAGUGUCGGAGAGGCAAGUGGAAUUCCUGGUGUAGCGGUGAAAUGCGUAGAUAUCAGGAGGAACACCAGUGGCGAAGGCGGCUUGCUGGACGAUGACUGACGUUGAGGCUCGAAAGCGUGGGGAGCAAACAGG